ensembl:lncRNA
GUGCACGUGUGAGGAGCCUCCCCUUCUGAUUAUCCACUUCCUCCUGUAACAGCCUUCUUCCUCCUCUCUAAUCUUCUAACCCUUUUCUGAUGCUCUCUCUCAAUCUCAUGCCCUCACCUGACCUAUCUACCUUUGUCUGAAAUCGCUGAUUUUUUUUCCUCUCCACUCCUCUCUUCUACACUUUACCAACCUUCUGUAUAAACAAACCAUCCCUAAACUGGACCCUCCACCUCAGCCCCUGAACCGCAAGCGUUCAAACAGGACUCUCUCUCCGGGUGUCGAAGCGGAAUCAAGAUCUUCAGCUGUAGCCACACCUGUAAAUGGGAACAUACUCACAAACGUGAGCAGUAGCUCCUCGUUUCCUGACAUCACGCUAUGCUCUGUUUCACCUGGUGAUUUCUAUUCUCAUGCCAACGGUAACAGUGUGUCAUGUUCAGCCAGCGAGGAUUCUGGCGUGCGCUCGGAUGACAAAUCCCUUAUAUCCCCCCAAUCCAGAGACGACCCCUCUGAUGACCAGAGCUCUGUGUUCAUCUCCACUUCCAGUACCUGCAGCAGCUUACCUGAGGAUCAUCCAGCUGUGGAUGGAGUAACUCCACCGCAUUCUACCACACCACUGGGAUAUGAGCAAACCAUCCCAUUCUCUUCGCCUGUCAAUGAUACCUGCCUUCAUAUAAGCCUAAGCGAAGAUGAGUUUCUAGAGGAGGGCACCUAUAAUGUCGCUACCCCAUGCAGGAGUUAGAAUCCCACGCAAAAUAUGUGAAAUUCAGAAUAAUAACAACUCUGCAGUGUUGAACAAACAUAAUGAAGAAAGGUGGCAUAUUUGACAACUGAUCUGUGUAAUAUUAGCCACAAGCUCACACUGAUAUUAUGCUGCAUAUUACUUUUUCGCUCCUUUUACCAGUUUUUUUCCACUCCUUGUUUCGAUCAAUGACUCUCCAAUUUUGUACCAUGCCCUCAAAUGAUUUUAUCUAUAAAAUUUGCUGAAAGAAUAUUUAGUAUGAUACAGAGUAGACUACUAUUGGCAGAUGGAUAGAGUGUAUUUUUUAGAUUGAAAUGAAUAGUUAUUUUUUAGCAAUGAAUGAAGUGCAUUGACUCCCACUAAGCUAAAUAGGAAUUGCUUCUGUUAGUGCUGCCGAUUUGUUUUUAUAUUAUAAGUUCAGUCUAUUUUUUUUUUUUAGCGCAAAUUGAUUUAUAUAUUGUUUGAAUGUUAUUUGGAUGCUAAAGAGCAGUUAUGUAGCAAAGAAACGCAGAAGUAUGUUAGCAAAAGAGACAUGACUGGUGAGAAAUAGAAGAGAAACAUAGAAAUAUGAAGAAAUUGAGGUAGAAAAAAACUUUCUUGCAUGAAUUCAAACUACACACAUUUUGUUUCAUAGAGUAAGCUGUGUGACUGAAUAGCUAAGUAUGGCAGCUUGAAUGGAUAGAUGACUGCAGACAAAUAAGGGACUUGAUUAUGUCUAGACAUCUUGAAUGGCUGAACCUCUCUGAUUUUAAUGCUUCACCAAUCAAGGUAAAAUGAGAAAAGAUCGUUAUCAUCUUUUCUAGGUGGAAAGGCUGCAAAGAAAAAAAAAACAGAGAGGAAAAGUAGAGGUGUUACAUUAGCAAUAAAUGCAAUAAUUUUUACA